GACGAACGCUGGCGGCGUGCUUAACACAUGCAAGUCGAACGGUGAAGCGCCUUCCUUUUUGGUGGGUGUGGAUGAGUGGCGAACGGGUGAGUAACACGUGAGUAACCUGCCCCCUUCUUCUGGAUAACCGCAUGAAAGUGUGGCUAAUACGGGAUAUUCUGGGUCUGUCGCAUGAUGGGUCUGGGAAAGAUAUUGUUUCGGUGGGGGAUGGGCUCGCGGCCUAUCAGCUUGUUGGUGGGGUGAUGGCCUACCAAGGCGGUGACGGGUAGCCGGCCUGAGAGGGUGGACGGUCACACUGGGACUGAGACACGGCCCAGACUCCUACGGGAGGCAGCAGGGGGGAAUAUUGCACAAUGGGCGCAAGCCUGAUGCAGCGACGCCGCGUGAGGGAUGGAGGCCUUCGGGUUGUGAACCUCUUUCGCCAGUGAAGCAGGCCUGCCUCGUUUGUGGGUGGGUUGACGGUAGCUGGAUAAGAAGCGCCGGCUAACUACGUG
rnacentral:rRNA from 1 species